rnacentral:rRNA from 1 species
GUUAAGUGACUAAGCGUAUACGGUGGAUGCCUAGGCAGUUAGAGGCGAUGAAGGACGUGUAAGUCUGCGAAAAGCUGUGGUGAGUUGACAAAACGCAUUUAGCCACAGAUGUCCGAAUGGGGAAACCCAGUGCAUUUAUGCACUAUCUGCAACUGAAUACAUAGGUUGUAGAGGCAAACGAGGGGAACUGAAACAUCUAAGUACCCUUAGGAAAAGAAAUCAACCGAGAUUUCCCUAGUAGCGGCGAGCGAACGGGAAUUAGCCCUUAAGCUAAUUGUAAGCCAGUGGAAUGUGUUGGAAAGCACAACGGUACAAGGUGAUAGUCCUGUACACAAAGGCGAACUUUAAGUGAAAUCGAGUAGGUCGGGACACGUGUUAUCUUGACUGAAUAUGGGGGGACCAUCCUCCAAGGCUAAAUACUCCUAACUGACCGAUAGUGAACCAGUACCGUGAGGGAAAGGCGAAAAGAACCCCUGUGAGGGGAGUGAAAUAGAACCUGAAACCGUAUACGUACAAGCAGUGGGAGCAGACUUGUUCUGUGACUGCGUACCUUUUGUAUAAUGGGUCAGCGACUUAUAUUUUGUAGCGAGGUUAACCGAAUAGGGGAGCCGUAGUGAAAGCGAGCGUUAACUGCGCGUCUAGUUGCAAGGUAUAGACCCGAAACCCGGUGAUCUAGCCAUGGGCAGGUUGAAGGUUGAGUAACAUCAACUGGAGGACCGAACCCACUGACGUUGAAAAGUCAGGGGAUGACCUGUGGCUGGGGGUGAAAGGCCAAUCAAACCGGGAGAUAGCUGGUUCUCCCCGAAAGCUAUUUAGGUAGCGCCUCGGACGAACACCAUGGGGGGUAGAGCACUGUUAAGGCUAGGGGGUCAUCCCGACUUACCAACCCUUUGCAAACUCCGAAUACCCAUGAGUGCUAUCCGGGAGACACACGGCGGGUGCUAACGUCCGUCGUGGAGAGGGAAACAACCCUGACCACCAAUUAAGGUCCCCAAAUAAUGGCUAAGUGUGAAAGGAUGUGGGAUUGCUUUGACAAUGAGGAGGUUGGCUUAGAAGCAGCCAUCCUUUAAAGAUAGCGUAACAGCUCACUGGUCUAAAUAAGUUGUCCUGCGGCGAAGAUGUAACGGGGCUCAAGCCAUGAGCCGAAGCUUAGGAUGCACA